rnacentral:rRNA from 1 species
CCUACGGGAGGCUGCAGUGGGGAAUAUUGCGCAAUGGGCGAAAGCCUGACGCAGCGACGCCGCGUGAGGGAUGAAGGUCUUCGGAUCGUAAACCUCUGUCAGCAGGGAAGAACGGUCACUGUGCUAAUCAGCAGUGAAUUGACGGUACCUGCAAAGGAAGCACCGGCUAACUCCGUGCCCGCAGCCGCGGGAAUACGGAGGGUGCGAGCGUUAAUCGGAAUUACUGGGCGUAAGGCGCGCGUAGGCGGUAUGUCAAGUCAAGGGUGAAAUCCCCGCGCUCAACGUGGGAACUGCCUUUGAAACUGGCAAACUGGAGUGUGUGAGAGGAUAGUGGAAUUCCAGGUGUAGGAGUGAAAUCCGUAGAUAUCUGGAGGAACAUCAGUGGCGAAGGCGACUAUCUGGCACAUAACUGACGCUGAGGAGCGAAAGCGUGGGUAGCGAACAGGAUUAGAUACCCGAGUAGUC